rnacentral:rRNA from 1 species
AUGGCCACCGCUGGAAUGCCGGCCAGCGCCCACACCACCAUUGUCCAUCAGGGCGCCUUGUUUCAGAUAGGGGCCGCCAUGAUCCAGAUUAGGAUCACACUCUCGAGAUGGGGCGUCCCGCCCCACCGAAGGACACGAGAGGGGAGGCAGUACCUCUGCCGCCGCCGUCGGAUAGAUGGUAUGACUAGCAUAUGGCUCAGCCAAAUUUAUAAAUCGCUCGGCAAUAACGGGGAUUUAAGUAUCUGCAUUUCACAAGAGCUAAGAUGCAAUGCAGAACAUGUUGGUUUGCAUGCAAAUGGAGAACAUGCUACUACUGCAUUGUUUGUUUCCAUGCAAAUGGAGAACAUGCUGGGCAUACAUAUUUGA